rnacentral:snoRNA from 1 species
AAACCAUGAUUAGGACAUUUUCUCAACAGCACUUGGAAACGCUCCCAAGCUUCAUAAAAGGCUUCAUCGGCACCUUGUCGGAAUGUUGAUAUUUCAAACUUUGCAU